rnacentral:rRNA from 1 species
AGUGAACGCUGGCGGUAGGCCUAACACAUGCAAGUCGAACGGCAGCACAGUAAGAGCUUGCUCUUACGGGUGGCGAGUGGCGGACGGGUGAGGAAUACAUCGGAAUCUACUUUUUCGUGGGGGAUAACGUAGGGAAACUUACGCUAAUACCGCAUACGACCUACGGGUGAAAGCAGGGGAUCUUCGGACCUUGCGCGAUUGAAUGAGCCGAUGUCGGAUUAGCUAGUUGGCGGGGUAAAGGCCCACCAAGGCGACGAUCCGUAGCUGGUCUGAGAGGAUGAUCAGCCACACUGGAACUGAGACACGGUCCAGACUCCUACGGGAGGCAGCAGUGGGGAAUAUUGGACAAUGGGCGCAAGCCUGACCCAGCCAUGCCGCGUGGGUGAAGAAGGCCUUCGGGUUGUAAAGCCCUUUUGUUGGGAAAGAAAAGCAGCAGGUUAAUACCCCGCUGUUCUGACGGUACCCAAAGAAUAAGCACCGGCUAACUUCGUG